AGCGAACGCUGGCGGCAGGCUUAACACAUGCAAGUCGAACGCAUCCUUCGGGGUGAGUGGCAGACGGGUGAGUAACACGUGGGAACAUACCUUUUGGUUCGGAAUAACUCAUGGAAACGUGAGCUAAUACCGGAUACGCCCUUUUGGGGAAAGAUUUAUUGCCGAAAGAUUGGCCCGCGUCUGAUUAGCUAGUUGGUAAGGUAAUGGCUCACCAAGGCGACGAUCAGUAGCUGGUCUGAGAGGAUGAUCAGCCACACUGGGACUGAGACACGGCCCAGACUCCUACGGGAGGCAGCAGUGGGGAAUAUUGGACAAUGGGCGCAAGCCUGAUCCAGCCAUGCCGCGUGAGUGAUGAAGGCCUUAGGGUUGUAAAGCUCUUAUAUCCGGGAAGAUAAUGACUGUACCGGAAGAAUAAGCCCCGGCUAACUUCGUGCCAGCCGCCGCAGUAA
rnacentral:rRNA from 1 species